GAAGCAAUAACGCAGGCAACAUAAAUCCAUGAAUCUGUGUGCAACCAAAAAUGAUCAUCUUUUUGUUCUGUAUGAGCUUUAAAAUGAUCCUGGUGUCAGGUUCCUCACUCAGUGACCAGGUUUACCAGAAUCCAGCUGAUAUGUAUAAAGAACAAGGACAAAGAGCAGACAUCACCUGUUCACACAGUAUAGACAACUAUGAUCGAAUCCUCUGGCUCCUCUCUCAGUGACAAAGUCCACCAGAGACCAGCUGAUAUUUAUAUAAAUUCCACAGAUACAGCCGAAAUCUACUGUUCACACAGAAUAGACAGCUAUGAUCAAAUCCUUUGGUACAAGCAGUUAAAGAACAAGCAGCUACAGUUCCUGGGACGCUUGUACACAAGCAUGGCAAAUGUAGAGACCGGAGUGAACGUGUCAAUAACUGGGAGUGCAGAUAAAGACAAAACCUGCACAUUAACUGUUAAACAUGUCACCCUGAACAGUGGUGCUGUGUACUUCUGUGCUGCUAGAUACCACAGCGCUACAUAUCACGG
ensembl:lncRNA